UGGCGCUGCGGGGCCGGGCCGGGGGCGAAGGGGCCGCACCUGCCCGCGGCAGCACCCGGCGGGGCUCAACGUGGGAAUCCCUCUGAAAAUAUAAUAAAAUUAGAGAAAGAAAACAGAAAAGAGGGAGGAGGAGCCCGGGGCGUUGCUGUCCAGCCCGGUGCCCGCCCGCUGUCUUGGCCGGGAGUUGGUGGGAGGACCAGGGGCCCCAGGGAUGGGCGGGAGCACGGGCAGCCCCCUCGCCUGUUUGCCGUAGGUAAAGCUGUUGUGCAAGAGCCAGCGGUCAGGAACAGGCUGUACUAAGCAGCCGUGGCCGACGCUGCCUCCAGUACGCAGAAAACUACCACGCGGACCAGAAACGCUCUCUUUGUUAAUGACGUUAAUUGUGAACUUAAUUAGGCGUCUGAAGUUGCAGCGAAGAGGUCAAAGACGUGGGCUCGUCGAACACAGAGAAGCUGAUGAGAUGGGCAGGACUGAGCCAACAUCCGGAUGGCGGGACCAGGGUGACGCAGACGUUGGCACACUGCUGGGGUCAGAGAUCUUGCAGCCCAGCAGUUUCACUGCACUAAACAUGUCCCCUGAAGCAGAGGAUGUCCCACAAUUGUCACACACAUGUUAACUGCAUGUACCCUCUGGGAUGCAGUGUCCCUUGGGCUUUGCCCGGUCUCCAAAGAAAAGCUCUUGAUGGUCAAGGACACCCCGGACAGAUGGCAGCCUCGGGACUUUUGCAAAGGCAAACAUAAUAGCAAACCCGUGUUGUCUGUCACCAGCUUGCCUUGGGGUCCCAGCUGGGUUGGCCAUGCUGGCACGUGUGGUUGCAGACAGCAGGGGCCACGCAAGGAUGAGGAGAGGGGACAGGAGGGCAGAGCAAACCCCUAAUUUGGGGCAAAAAGGUAUCACCCCUUCAAGAGGGCACUAGGCACCCAGAAUGGGCAGCUGGUGGUGUCACCAGGAUGGGCCUCUGGCCACCAGGCAGGGCUGACCCCGCUGUUCAUCCCACAGGCAAGGUGGCUGCUGUUGGAGCUGUGCUAUGGAGUACCUGCAUUUCCAUGGAAACCUCUCCCCGUGGUCUGAUGUUGGUCACUAACAGGGGCUGCAAUGGAGGGCCUUGGUAUUGCAGUCCUGGGGCUGCUGGGUGGGUUGGGCCAGAGGGGUCAGUGGUUGGGGCAACUCUGAAUAGGGCUGCAGGUCACAGUUCAGGGUGGUCAUGGGUGGGCAGUUUCCUUCACCCAGAGAGCAGGGGCAACUCUGCCUGUUGGCAUGGAAAAACCCAGGGAAGGCAUCCCCAUGCCCUGGGAUGAGAGCCCCAUCAGCCCAUUGGAGUCCCCUUGUAGCUUGGCUGUAUUGCAACCUGUCCCAGGCAUUCCACAGCAUCCCUGCCCUGACAGCACAGCAUGGCACACUGCCUGCCUAUGGCACUUUCCCACACUCUUCAUCAUGCCCCCAGGCCAUGCCCACUCUGCGGCACCUCCAGCACACAGGGCACAGGGUGGCAGGGGGUGCAGGACCUCCACAAUGGCAGCACCAGUGGUCAUAGGGGGUCAAGCACAGGGUCUGGAGCACGGUGCUGAACAGGGUGAUGUGCCAGUGGCACAGCAUCGCCGAGGGUACCCCGGGAGAGCAGAGCAGAGCCCCUCACCCAGCUCCCAAGCACAGCCCGUCCCCCUGCCUGCCCCAGCUCCCCUGGAUCGGGGCCUCGGCCCUGGCUCCACUGUCUGCACGCUGCCUGGAGGCGAUUUCGGCCCCCCCUCCCGUGCCUGGUUUUCCAUGGCAACUCCAGUGAAAUUACAUUAAAAAGAAAUGAAACCA